rnacentral:rRNA from 1 species
CUUGGCGUAAUAGACUAUUCGCUGAGGAAUUCUAGUCUUCGGAUUAGAGCCGGGUUGGGUUAAAGGAAGCUUCUAAUCAGAAUGUCUACAUUUUAAGAUUAGAUCUCAAAUCAGGUAGGACUACCCGCUGAACUUAAGCAUAUCAAUAAGCGGAGGAAAAGAAACUAACAAGGAUUCCCCUAGUAGCGGCGAGCGAAGCGGGAAGAGCUCAAAUUUAUAAUCUGGCACCUUCGGUGUCCGAGUUGUAAUCUCUAGAAAUGUUUUCCGCGUUGGACCGCACACAAGUCUGUUGGAAAACAGCGGCAUAGUGGUGAGACCCCCGUAUAUGGUGCGGACGCCCAGCGCUUUGUGAUACAUUUUCGAAGAGUCGAGUUGUUUGGGAAUGCAGCUCAAAUUGGGUGGUAAAUUCCAUCUAAAGCUAAAUAUUGGCGAGAGACCGAUAGCGAACAAGUACCGUGAGGGAAAGAUGAAAAGCACUUUGGAAAGAGAGUUAACAGUACGUGAAAUUGUUGGAAGGGAAACGCUUGAAGUCAGACUUGCUUGCUGAGCAAUCGGUUUGCAGGCCAGCAUCAGUUUUCCGGGAUGGAUAAUGGUAGAGAGAAGGUAGCAGUUUCGGCUGUGUUAUAGCUCUCUGCUGGAUACAUCUUGGGGGACUGAGGAACGCAGUGUGCCUUUGGCGGGGGUUUCGAC